UUAACCUGAAAUGGGACUACAAGGAACUUAAAUGCUUUACCAGGCUUCUGCUAGCCCCACAGAGCUUACACUUGCUCAGCUGUGGAUGUCCUUUGAACCAGGUAAAGGAGGCACUGGAGGAGAAAAUUUCUGUCCCAUUUGGAAUAAAGAAAACCCAGAGACAGAGUUAUCCCUGAAUACAAGAACUUGUGCCCCUCCAGGACCAGAGCACCGUGUGGGUGGAGCUGGGGCUGCCUGCAGUGGUGACCCAAAUUCUCAUUUAUUUACCCAAAAUCCAUGUGAGAGCUGUGAAUGA
rnacentral:lncRNA from 1 species